UGGGGAAUAUUGGACAAUGGGGGCAACCCUGAUCCAGCCAUGCCGCGUGUGUGAAGAAGGCCUUUUGGUUGUAAAGCACUUUAAGCAGUGAAGAAGACUCCAUGGUUAAUACCCAUGGACGAUGACAUUAGCUGCAGAAUAAGCACCGGCUAACUCUGUGCCAGCAGCCGCGGUAAUACAGAGGGUGCAAGCGUUAAUCGGAAUUACUGGGCGUAAAGCGAGCGUAGGUGGCUUGAUAAGUCAGAUGUGAAAGCCCCGGGCUUAACCUGGGAACGGCAUCUGAUACUGUUAGGCUAGAGUAGGUGAGAGGAAGGUAGAAUUCCAGGUGUAGCGGUGAAAUGCGUAGAGAUCUGGAGGAAUACCGAUGGCGAAGGCAGCCUUCUGGCAUCAUACUGACACUGAGUUUCGAAAGCGUGGGUAGCAAACA
rnacentral:rRNA from 1 species